rnacentral:rRNA from 1 species
AAAUGCGUAGAUAUAUGGAGGAACACCGGUGGCGAAAGCGGCUCUCUGGUCUGUAACUGACGCUGAGGCUCGAAAGCGUGGGGAGCGAACAGGAUUAGAUACCCUGGUAGUCCACGCCGUAAACGAUGAGUGCUAGGUGUUGGAUCCUUUCCGGGAUUCAGUGCCGCAGCUAACGCAUUAAGCACUCCGCCUGGGGAGUACGACCGCAAGGUUGAAACUCAAAGGAAUUGACGGGGGCCCGCACAAGCGGUGGAGCAUGUGGUUUAAUUCGAAGCAACGCGAAGAACCUUACCAGGUCUUGACAUCCCGAUGCUAUUUUUAGAGAUAGAAAGUUACUUCGGUACAUCGGUGACAGGUGGUGCAUGGUUGUCGUCAGCUCGUGUCGUGAGAUGUUGGGUUAAAGUCCCGCAACGAGCGCAACCCCUUAUUGUUAGUUGCCAUCAUUCAGUUGGGCACUCUAGCGAGACUGCCGGUAAUAAACCGGAGGAAGUGGGAUGACGUCAAAUCAUCAUGCCCCUUAUGACCUGGGCUACACCG